AACGAACGCUGGCGGCAUGCCUAACACAUGCAAGUCGAACGAGAUCUUCGGGUCUAGUGGCGCACGGGUGCGUAACGCGUGGGAAUCUGCCCUUUGGUUCGGAAUAACAGUUGGAAACGACUGCUAAAACCGGAUGAUGACGAAAGUCCAAAGAUUUAUCGCCAGAGGAUGAGCCCGCGUAGGAUUAGCUAGUUGGUGUGGUAAAGGUGCACCAAGGCGACGAUCCUUAGCUGGUCUGAGAGGGUGAUCAGCCACACUGGGACUGAGACACGGCACAGACUCCUACGGGAGGCAGAAGUGGGGAAUAUUGGACAAUGGGCGAAAGCCUGAUCCAGCAAGGCCGCGUGAGUGAUGAAGGACUUAGGGUUGUAAAGCUCUUUUACCAGGGAUGAUAAUGACAGUACCGGGAGAAUAAGCUCCGGCUAACACCGUGCCAGCCGCCGCCGUAACAC
rnacentral:rRNA from 1 species